GGGACUGUGUUUGCCAGUGUUGUGCGCGCUUGUUAACCUCAUUAGUAAAGUCCCAGUAAGUUUGUGUACUAGAACUUCAGUGAUGAGUCUGGCUGGUGCACACAGCUUAACGAAGCAGCCAUCAAUGAGAGCUCGCCAUGCUAAAGAUGCUGAGGCGCCCAUAUAUAUAAUGUGUUUGUGGGUAGCAUGUAAGUAAGGAGUAAGGAUUUAUAUGGGUCUGUGUGUAUGGAAUUAUAGAUUUGUGUGUAUGUGUAAAACCUCUCGAUGUGUUCCAGAGCAUCUCAGGCAUGUGUAGAACUGUUACCAUACAUGAAUUAUACAUAUGUAAAACAAUUUCUACAUAAAUAAAUCUGUAAAUUUGCAUGUACAUGUUGAAAAGGUAUAUAUACAGCCUCUCCCUGUGCAAUAUGGGCAUGUUAAAGGCCAUUUUAAAGUUCAUAUAUUCAUAUCUAAUGAAUGCAUGC